AGAAUCACAUAAAAAAAAUUAUGCACUAUGAUCAGGUAGGUUUUAUCCCAGAGAUGCAAGGCUGGUUUAAUAUAUGUAAGUCAAUAAAAGCAAUGUAUCACAUCAAUA